UGAGACUGAAUUUUUUUAAAA
rnacentral:piRNA from 1 species